CAUACAUAAAACUUACAUUUUCAUAAUCAAUCCAUUCAGGGGAACAACAUAUUAAAAAAUGGCACGAAUCAGACCAGGGGUUCAAAAGUUAAGGGAAAGUCCUUUGUGACUAAAUGAAGCAUGGCUUUCUGGCCCAAACCAGUUUCAGAGUCUUCUAUCCUGGAGAUAAGUAAUUCAAUUAUCUCCCAGGACAGACACAAGACUCCAUUAAGCACAUGGUUGCAAAAAGACACAAAACACUUUAAAAUACAUAAAGUCACAUUUUACACAUAACACACAGACAUUUCACAUAUCCCCAGAUAGCUGGGAUCUGAGCGCACAAAACUACCGAAUAGUGCUCAGAUCCUAUUCACACAGUUCAAUUGCCAUGGAGCC